rnacentral:rRNA from 1 species
GAUGAACGCUGGCGGCGUGCUUAACACAUGCAAGUCGAACGGUGAAGCAGAGCUUGCUCUGUGGAUCAGUGGCGAACGGGUGAGUAACACGUGAGCAACCUGCCCCUGACUCUGGGAUAAGCGCUGGAAACGGCGUCUAAUACUGGAUAUGAGCUGCGACCGCAUGGUCAGCAGUUGGAAAGAUUUUUCGGUCUGGGAUGGGCUCACGGCCUAUCAGCUUGUUGGUGAGGUAAUGGCUCACCAAGGCGUCGACGGGUAGCCGGCCUGAGAGGGUGACCGGCCACACUGGGACUGAGACACGGCCCAGACUCCUACGGGAGGCAGCCGUGGGGAAUAUUGCACAAUGGGCGAAAGCCUGAUGCAGCAACGCCGCGUGAGGGAUGACGGCCUUCGGGUUGUAAACCUCUUUUAGCAGGGAAGAAGCGAAAGUGACGGUACCUGCAGAAAAAGCGCCGGCUAACUACGUG